GACCGCGCCCCAUGCAGCGGUGCCUCUCGAACCGGGUCAGGUCCGGAAGGAAGCAGCCCUAAGGGGUGGCCACCGGGUGCCGUGGACCGCGUGGUCGGA
rnacentral:SRP_RNA from 1 species